rfam:TPA: Bos taurus chromosome 13, whole genome shotgun sequence.
UCUUCAGUGGCUCAGACAGUAAAGAAUCUGCCUGCAAUGCAGGAGUCCCAGGUUCGAUCCCUGGAUGGGGAA